CUCAGUGAUCCCUAUUGAAGAGGGGAAGGGGAUCCCAUCGAAACUCAGAAGUUAAGUGCGCUUGGGCUAGAGUAGUACUCGGAUGGGUGACCAUUCGAAAAGUCCUAGUGUUGCACCCU
rfam:Picea glauca, whole genome shotgun sequence.